ACUCAAAUGAAUUGACGGGGGCCCGCACAAGCGGUGGAGCAUGUGGUUCAAUUCGACGCAACGCGAAGAACCUUACCUGGGUUUGAACUGCAGGUGACAGCCCCUGAAAGGGGGUUUCCUUCGGGCGCCUGUAGAGGUGCUGCAUGGCUGUCGUCAGCUCGUGUCGUGAGAUGUUGGGUUAAGUCCCGCAACGAGCGCAACCCUUGCCCUCAGUUGCCAGCGGGUUAUGCCGGGAACUCUGAGGGGACUGCCCCGGAAAACGGGGAGGAAGGUGGGGAUGACGUCAAGUCCUCAUGGCCUUUAUGCCCAGGGCUACACACGUGCUACAAUGGGCGGGACAAAGGGUCGCGAUACCGCGAGGUGGAGCUAAUCCCAUAAAACCGUCCUCAGUACGGAUUGCAGUCUGCAACUCGACUGCAUGAAGUUGGAAUCGCUAGUAAUCGCGGAUCAGCACGCCGCGGUGAAUACGUUCCCGGGCCUUGUACACACCGCCCGU
rnacentral:rRNA from 1 species